CUCUGUUUUCUGGAUUUGCCCCGUGGUUCACCGUAGUUUUCCUGUCUUGAGUUUCAGUUCCUCUCUAUUCCCUUAUGAAGUCAUUUUGCUGGUAGAAUAACUGGCUCUUUUGCUUUUUAAGGUCAGCAUUACAUGGUGACCCAGAUGGGACCCAAAGGAGAGGAACCCCUGAGGAAGUCACGACCCCCAGAACCAUGUAAAGUACCUACGUUAGUGCCUUGUGCUUUCUGCUUCUGUGAGUCAUCUUGCCUUUAGUUCGUUAAAAGGACUAGGAUGGACUGGGAAACUGUCUGCUUCAGAUUCAGUUAUUUUAGCAAAGUGGCCCACCCACACCCCAGAGAAUUCAGCUACAAGGAAGACCACUAAAAUCUUUAAUUUUCAACUCUAACAAAUGGAAGCGCCUUAAGCAAAAGCAACUCCCUCCUGGUCUCUGCCAUUAUUGGACAUUGGAAGAAAGAUUGUUCCAAAGUGCGUUCCUGGGAGACAAAGAUCUAAAGCGUCAUACCUUGCAGUCCAGAGAUUUCAUCUAUUGGAAAAGACAGCUACAGGAAGACUCUCUUCAACCCUGUUGGAAAGGCCCCUUUCAGAUUUAAUUUUUAAACUAAUCUCUCCAUCCA